rnacentral:lncRNA from 1 species
GAAUCAAGAUGUGUAUUUGGAGUCACAGAAGUGAUAUAAUCUUAUGAUAUUAAAACAUUGUUGCUGGAGCAGAAGUUUAUAAAAUUUCCUCAGGUCUUUGAAGUCAUUUCCCUUAUAGAUAUACCCAUAUGUCUAGGACUGUAUCGAGUGCUGUGGAUGAGAAGUCUGAUGCCACUUUGAUCAUUCCUCUCUUUCCCACUUCAUUUGUCCAGGCAGGAGCAAGCUGUCUACAGGUCCCUAGACCGGCAGCAUCCGAAUCACCUGAAAGCCUAUUAGAAACAGAAUCUCAAGCCCACCGCAUACCUUCUGAAUCAGAAUCUACAUUUCAACAAGAUACCCAGCUGAUUGUUCUGCAUGUUAAAUUUUAAGAUUCGUAGUCUACAUUGUCACCAUCCAUCCUCUGCCAGUACUUGGCCCAGUGGGGCUGUGUUAGCGUGAACAUAGCCUGUAUAUGUAUAAGCAGACUCUUCAGUUUCAUUGCCUUUAGCGUUAAGAACAAAUCACUAGUGAAACUCAUAGAAGAUAUCACAGAAAAAAUGGAAUAUCUCAGGAAAUUUAAACACCGGUAGGACUCUGUAGGACUUUGGGUCAAACUGGAGCUCAAUUCUCCAUUCACAGCACAUUGCAUCUUCCAUGCUCCCAGAGUUAGAGGUCUGUUAUAACUAAUGAGAUGGAUUUUUGUAAAUAGUAUAUGAUCGAGUGAUACUUCUGAGUCAUGCCAUAAAAGUUAGUGUCCGUUGCCAUUUGGGCUUGUUCAGCUUCUUUGCCUGUUAAGGUAGAUUUGGAUAGCAAUACAUGCUGGUGGCAGCAUUUGAUAAAAAGUUUCCAUUUGCUAAUGGUUACAUGGAAUUUCUUAUAGCAAUUUAGCAGUUCAAGUGCUUUAGGAAAAUUGUGAAAGAAGUGGAAACAUGUAGAAAGACAUCUAUGUUUCCCCUCUCUGACCCUUUCCCUCCUCUUGUCCUCUAGUGAAUUCUCUUCUCUGCACACUCUGUCCACUUUUUCAGGACCCUAGUGUCUUGAGAAUUCUCUCAAAUUGGUAUUUGAAGUCAAGGAAUUAAAGUCAGUUAGAUCUUUAGAGUUUAUAAGUGCUUUCAUCUUCUUGGGCUUCUAAAAAUCCCUAGUUUUGUUAUCCCUAUUUUACAGACUAGGAAGCUGAAAUUUGGACAAGAGAAGGGACUGAAUGAAAUUGCCUGAGGGAGAGUUGGCCUCCUGUCUUUGACCCUAAAUGCUUUACUCUUUCCCCUUUAACUUGCUGCCUUUCAGAAAAAUCUCCCUGCUGUCAAUGGGUGUUUGCAUCUCUAUGUGAAGUGAAAUUACCUGUUGCUCCCUCUAAGCCAUUUUGUAUUUUCACCUUUAGUUUUAAUUGUAAAUUUAAGGGUUUUGUGAAGAAUGUCUCUGUUAGAGACCAAGUGGAAGUGAGAGUCCAGAGCAAGAGGGGUCUUCCGCAGGUCUUUGUCAUCGCAUCCCCAGGCUGUGCCAGCAGCAGCCCUGAUGAGAUCAGCUUCCAUCACUGCGUAGUGAGGGAAGAAAUUAAAUAGAGUUGGAAGAAUAAGGACAUAUAGUGUCAAGGGAUGUGCUUUUGUGUACACGGGUGAAAUGGGAUAUUGCAAGUUUCAUCCAGGUUAUCACUGUUGUGACCAAAUUGGCUUUUCAGAACCAAGCAGUGACAAGGACUGGUAUAUCUGUCAUUUAAUAAACCCU